AUGUACAUUCCUACAGGAUAGCAUUAAUGCAUUGGAUCCCAUUAGAAAUAUGUAGUUAAGCACACUUGAGAUAGAGUAGUACUGGGACGGGUGACCACCCAGGAAGUCCUAGUGUUUUACAUG
rnacentral:rRNA from 1 species